UACGGAGGGUGCAAGCGUUGUCCGGAUUCAUUGGGUUUAAAGGGUGCGCAGGCUGGACAUUAAGUCAGGGGUGAAAGACGGUUGCUCAACAAUCGCAGUGCCUUUGAUACUGGUGUUCUUGGGUAACCUUGAGGUAGGCGGAAUGGGUGGUGUAGCGGUGAAAUGCAUAGAUACCACCCAGAACUCCGAUUGCGAAGGCAGCCUACUGGAGGUCAACCGACGCUCAGGCACGAAAGCGUGGGGAUCAAACAGG
rnacentral:rRNA from 1 species